rnacentral:rRNA from 1 species
AACGAACGCUGGCGGUAGGCUUAACACAUGCAAGUCGAGCGCCCCGCAAGGGGAGCGGCAGACGGGUGAGUAACGCGUGGGAAUCUACCCAUCUCUACGGAAUAACGCAUGGAAACGUGUGCUAAUACCGUAUACGUCCUUCGGGCGAAAGAUUUAUCGGAGAUGGAUGAGCCCGCGUUGGAUUAGCUAGUUGGUGGGGUAAAGGCCUACCAAGGCGACGAUCCAUAGCUGGUCUGAGAGGAUGAUCAGCCACACUGGGACUGAGACACGGCCCAGACUCCUACGGGAGGCAGCAGUGGGGAAUAUUGGACAAUGGGCGCAAGCCUGAUCCAGCCAUGCCGCGUGAGUGAUGAAGGCCCUAGGGUUGUAAAGCUCUUUCACCGGUGAAGAUAAUGACGGUAACCGGAGAAGAAGCCCCGGCUAACUUCGUGCCAGCAGCCGCCGUAA